GGAACAUGACAUUGAGACCCCCUAUGGGCUGCUGCACGUGGUCAUCCGGGGCUCACCCAAGGGGAAUCGCCCAGCCAUCCUGACAUACCAUGAUGUGGGCCUCAACCACAAGCUUUGCUUCAACACCUUCUUCAACUACGAGGACAUGCAGGAGAUCACAAAGCACUUUGUGGUGUGCCACGUGGAUGCUCCAGGCCAGCAGGCAGGAGCCUCACAGUUCCCUCAGGGGUACCAGUACCCAUCCAUGGACCAGCUGGCUGCCAUGUUACCCAGUGUGGUGCAGCAUUUUGGGUUCAAGUACGUGAUCGGGAUCGGUGUUGGGGCAGGAGCCUACGUGCUGGCCAAGUUUGCGGUGAGC